UACGUAGGGCGCAAGCGUUGUCCGGAAUUAUUGGGCGUAAAGAGCUCGUAGGUGGUUUGUCGCGUCUGUCGUGAAAGCCCGGGGCUUAACUCCGGGUCUGCGGUGGAUACGGGCAGACUAGAGGCAGGUAGGGGAGAACGGAAUUCCCGGUGUAGCGGUGAAAUGCGCAGAUAUCGGGAGGAACACCGGUGGCGAAGGCGGUCUCUGGGCCUGUACUGACGCGAGGAGCGAAAGCGUGGGGGAGCGAAACAGG
rnacentral:rRNA from 1 species